rnacentral:rRNA from 1 species
CAGGGAGCCCUAGCACAGGUGCUGCAUGGCCGUCGUCAGCUCGUGCCGUGAGGUGUGGGUUAAGUCCCGCAACGAGCGCAACCCCGCCGUUAGUUGCCAGCGGUUCGGCCGGGCACUCUAACGGGACUGCCCGCGAAAGCGGGAGGAAGGAGGGGACGACGUCUGGUCAGCAUGGCCCUUACGGCCUGGGCGACACACGUGCUACAAUGCCCACUACAAAGCGAUGCCACCCGGCAACGGGGAGCUAAUCGCAAAAAGGUGGGCCCAGUUCGGAUUGGGGUCUGCAACCCGACCCCAUGAAGCCGGAAUCGCUAGUAAUCGCGGAUCAGCCAUGCCCGCGGUCGAAUACGUUCCGGGCCUU